GUCUACGGCCGUCCUACCCUGAACCAGCCCCAUUCUGUCUGAUCUCGAAGCUAAGCAGGGUCGGGCCUGGUUACUACUCGAAUGGGAGACUACCUAGGAAUACCAGAUGCUUUAGGAG
rnacentral:rRNA from 1 species